rnacentral:rRNA from 1 species
AGAUUAAGUUAUUAAGGGCGCACGGUGGAUGCCUUGGCACUAGAAGCCGAUGAAGGACGUUACUAACGACGAUAUGCUUUGGGGAGCUGUAAGUAAGCGUUGAUCCAGAGAUUUCCGAAUGGGGAAACCCAGCAUGAGUUAUGUCAUGUUAUCGAUAUGUGAAUACAUAGCAUAUCAGAAGGCAGACCCGGAGAACUGAAACAUCUUAGUACCCGGAGGAAGAGAAAGAAAAAUCGAUUCCCUGAGUAGCGGCGAGCGAAACGGGAAGAGCCCAAACCAACAAGCUUGCUUGUUGGGGUUGUAGGACACUCUAUACGGAGUUACAAAAGUAUAUAUUAGACGAAUCAUCUGGAAAGUUGAAUCAAAGAAGGUAAUAAUCCUGUAGUCGAAAAUAUAUACUCUCUUGAGUGGAUCCUGAGUACGACGGAGCACGUGAAAUUCCGUCGGAAUCUGGGAGGACCAUCUCCUAAGGCUAAAUACUCUCUAGUGACCGAUAGUGAACCAGUACCGUGAGGGAAAGGUGAAAAGUACCCCGGAAGGGGAGUGAAAGAGAACUUGAAACCGUGUGCUUACAAGUAGUCAGAGCCCGUUAAUGGGUGAUGGCGUGCCUUUUGUAGAAUGAACCGGCGAGUUACGAUUUGAUGCAAGGUUAAGCAGCUAAUGUGGAGCCGUAGCGAAAGCGAGUCUGAAUAGGGCGUUUAGUAUUUGGUCGUAGACCCGAAACCAGGUGAUCUACCCUUGGUCAGGUUGAAGUUCAGGUAACACUGAAUGGAGGACCGAACCGACUUACGUUGAAAAGUGAGCGGAUGAACUGAGGGUAGCGGAGAAAUUCCAAUCGAACUUGGAGAUAGCUGGUUCUCUCCGAAAUAGCUUUAGGGCUAGCCUCAAGUGAUGAUUAUUGGAGGUAGAGCACUGUUUGGACGAGGGGCCCUUCUCGGGUUACCGAAUUCAGACAAACUCCGAAUGCCAAUUAAUUUAACUUGGGAGUCAGAACAUGGGUGAUAAGGUCCGUGUUCGAAAGGGAAACAGCCCAGACCACCAGCUAAGGUCCCAAAAUAUAUGUUAAGUGGAAAAGGAUGUGGCGUUGCCCAGACAACUAGGAUGUUGGCUUAGAAGCAGCCAUCAUUUAAAGAGUGCGUAAUAGCUCACUAGUCGAGUGACACUGCGCCGAAAAUGUACCGGGGCUAAACAUAUUACCGAAGCUGUGGAUUGUCCGUAGGACAAUGGUAGGAGAGCGUUCUAAGGGCGUCGAAGCAUGAUCGCAAGGACAUGUGGAGCGCUUAGAAGUGAGAAUGCCGGUGUGAGUAGCGAAAGACGGGUGAGAAUCCCGUCCACCGAUUGACUAAGGUUUCCAGAGGAAGGCUCGUCCGCUCUGGGUUAGUCGGGUCCUAAGCUGAGGCCGACAGGCGUAGGCGAUGGAUAACAGGUUGAUAUUCCUGUACCACCUAGUAUCGUUUUAAUCGAUGGGGGGACGCAGUAGGAUAGGCGAAGCGUGCUAUUGGAUUGCACGUCCAAGCAGUAAGACUGAGUGUUAGGCAAAUCCGGCACUCAUAAGGUCAAGCUGUGAUGGGGAGAGGAAAUUGUUUCCUCGAGUCGUUGAUUUCACACUGCCAAGAAAAGCCUCUAGAUAGAUAACAGGUGCCCGUACCGCAAACCGACACAGGUAGUCAAGAUGAGAAUUCUAAGGUGAGCGAGCGAACUCUCGUUAAGGAACUCGGCAAAAUGACCCCGUAACUUCGGGAGAAGGGGUGCUCUUUAGGGUUAACGCCCAGAAGAGCCGCAGUGAAUAGGCCCAAGCGACUGUUUAUCAAAAACACAGGUCUCUGCUAAACCGUAAGGUGAUGUAUAGGGGCUGACGCCUGCCCGGUGCUGGAAGGUUAAGAGGAGUAGUUAGCUUCUGCGAAGCUACGAAUCGAAGCCCCAGUAAACGGCGGCCGUAACUAUAACGGUCCUAAGGUAGCGAAAUUCCUUGUCGGGUAAGUUCCGACCCGCACGAAAGGCGUAACGAUUUGGGCACUGUCUCAACGAGAGACUCGGUGAAAUCAUAGUACCUGUGAAGAUGCAGGUUACCCGCGACAGGACGGAAAGACCCCGUGGAGCUUUACUGUAGCCUGAUAUUGAAAUUCGGCACAGCUUGUACAGGAUAGGUAGGAGCCUUUGAAACGUGAGCGCUAGCUUACGUGGAGGCAUUGGUGGGAUACUACCCUAGCUGUGUUGGCUUUCUAACCCGCACCACUUAUCGUGGUGGGAGACAGUGUCAGGUGGGCAGUUUGACUGGGGCGGUCGCCUCCUAAAAGGUAACGGAGGCGCUCAAAGGUUCCCUCAGAAUGGUUGGAAAUCAUUCAUAGAGUGUAAAGGCAUAAGGGAGCUUGACUGCGAGACUUACAAGUCGAGCAGGGUCGAAAGACGG